UGAACGCUGGCGGCAGGCCUAACACAUGCAAGUCGAGCGGCAGCGACAUAAACAAUCCUUCGGGUGCGCUUAUGGGCGGCGAGCGGCGGACGGGUGAGUAAUGCCUGGGAAUAUGCCCUGAUGUGGGGGAUAACCAUUGGAAACGAUGGCUAAUACCGCAUAAUCUCUUCGGAGCAAAGAGGGGGACCUUCGGGCCUCUCGCGUCAGGAUUAGCCCAGGUGAGAUUAGCUAGUUGGUGAGGUAAGAGCUCACCAAGGCGACGAUCUCUAGCUGGUCUGAGAGGAUGAUCAGCCACACUGGAACUGAGACACGGUCCAGACUCCUACGGGAGGCAGCAGUGGGGAAUAUUGCACAAUGGGGGAAACCCUGAUGCAGCCAUGCCGCGUGUGUGAAGAAGGCCUUCGGGUUGUAAAGCACUUUCAGUCGUGAGGAAGGCGUUAUCGUUAAUAGCGGUAGUG
rnacentral:rRNA from 2 species